AUCCCAUGGCAACAGCAUGACUGAACUGAAGCCCAGCAGCAAAGCACAUCUCACCAAGCUGAAAAUACCUUCCCAACCACUGGAUGCAUCAGCUUCUGGUGAUGUGAGCUGUGUGGAUGAAAUCCUAAAAGAGAUGACGCAUUCAUGGCCUCCCCCUCUAACGGCUAUUCAUACACCAUGCAAAACAGAACCUUCCAAAUUUCCUUUUCCAACUAAGGAGUCUCAGCAGUCCAAUUUUGGCACUGGAGAACAAAAAAGAUAUAAUCCUUCUAAAACUUCAAAUGGGCACCAGUCUAAAUCUAUGUUAAAAGAUGACUUAAAACUAAGCAGCAGUGAAGACAGUGAUGGGGAACAGGAUUGUGAUAAGACAAUGCCGAGGAGUACACCAGGAAGCCUGAACCCCCGCCAACAAACAAAUGGCAACUUGAUA
rnacentral:sRNA from 1 species